rnacentral:lncRNA from 1 species
AAAUAAUAAAGAUCAGGUAAAUAAUUGCGAAAGAUGGAAUUUUUAGAGAUUGGAGAUUAAACUUAGAGAUUGAAAAUUUAAGAAAUUAUUUAGAGAUGAGAUCUUUAAUAUAUGAAUAACUGAAUAAAUAAAUGGAUGGAAUAACGUUAAUAAUGAGAAUAAUCAUUAAACAACGGGAUAUGAAUGGUGGAGUUUUUGAGAUUGGAAAUUAAAUUUGGAAGUCG